UACGUAGGGUGCAAGCGUUGUCCGGAAUUAUUGGGCGUAAAGGGUGUGUAGGUGGCGCGCUAAGUCGGGUGUGAAAUUUCGGAGCUUAACUCCGAAACUGCAUUCGAUACUGGCGUGCUUGAGGACUGGAGAGGAGACUGGAAUUCAUGGUGUAGCAGUGAAAUGCGUAGAGAUCAUGAGGAAGACCAGUGGCGAAGGCGGGUCUCUGGACAGUUCCUGACGCUGAGGCACGAAGGUCAGGGGAGCAAACGGG
rnacentral:rRNA from 1 species